AUUCGCGGCCUAUCAGCUUGUUGGUGGGGUGAUGGCCUACCAAGGCGACGACGGGUAGCCGGCCUGAGAGGGCGACCGGCCACACUGGGACUGAGACACGGCCCAGACUCCUACGGGAGGCAGCAGUGGGGAAUAUUGCACAAUGGGCGGAAGCCUGAUGCAGCGACGCCGCGUGAGGGAUGACGGCCUUCGGGUUGUAAACCUCUUUCAGCAGGGACGAAGCGAGAGUGACGGUACCUGCAGAAGAAGCGCCGGCCAACUACGUGCCAGCAGCCGCGGUAAGACGUAGGGCGCGAGCGUUGUCCGGAUUUAUUGGGCGUAAAGAGCUCGUAGGCGGCUUGUCGCGUCGACUGUGAAAACCCGCGGCUCAACUGCGGGCUUGCAGUCGAUACGGGCAGGCUUGAGUUCGGUAGGGGAGACUGGAAUUCCUGGUGUAGCGGUGAAAUGCGCAGAUAUCAGGAGGAACACCGGUGGCGAAGGCGGGUCUCUGGGCCGAUACUGACGCUGAGGAGCGAAAGCGUGGGGAGCGAACAGGAUUAGAUACCCUGGUAGUCCACGCUGUAAACGUUGGGCGCUAGGUGUGGGGGACCUCUCCGGUCCUCUGUGCCGCAGCUAACGCAUUAAGCGCCCCGCCUGGGGAGUACGGAAU
rnacentral:rRNA from 1 species